UGAGUUGGCUGGGUGGCCGCGGCCAAGGAAACUUAGUCGAGGAACGUCCGGGCUCCACAGGGCAAGGUGAUGGUUAACAGCCAUCCGGGGCGACCCGCGGGAAAGUGCCACAGAAAAUAGACCGCCCGGAUGUGAAUCUGGGUAAGGGUGAAACGGUGCGGUAAGAGCGCACCAGCAGCCUGGGUGACCAGGUUGGCUAGGUAAACCCCACCUGGAGCAAGACCAAGCAGGAAGCAGGGCGGCCCGCCUAAUGCUUCCGGGUAGGUUGCUAGAGACUCAUGGCAACAUGAGUCCCAGAUGGAUGGUCACCACUCGAAGAUGCAAUCUUUGAGAACAGAACCCGGCGUACAGGCCAACUCACCCC
rnacentral:RNase_P_RNA from 1 species